CGUAACCCUCAACCUGGCAACCUCUAACCCUCAACCUGGCAACCUCUAACCCUUGACGAUCGGCUUCACCUCCGGCACCGAGCUAAGAGUUCUUCACGGGUCCACUUGGUUCGUACAGCAGCGUUGCCCAAUGGGUCCGGGGACAAGGAUCAUCAUCAUCAUCAUCAUCAUCAUCAUCAUCAUCAUCAUCAUCAUCAAUUACAUCAAUGCUGGGUUUUCCCGCCCUUUUGAGGUUUAACUAAAACGUAACUAAAGGCUUGAAGGCUAUGUUCCCCGCUUGGCGUCCUUUUUGUUAAGAAAAAGUUGACUAUAUCGAACGUUUGCAGUUAAAAAA